rnacentral:lncRNA from 1 species
CAAAAGUGCCAGGACAGCUCCGGUUCCAGCCUCAUUCUGCCUGGACCCAAGUUCUGCUUCAUUACCCCUGAAACGUUUCCUUCACGGAAAGCUGGUGGCAGACAUGCUGGGGAGCUUUCUGAGCCCCUGGCUGUGUGGCUCUGUGACAGCAGCCUCCUCUUCUACAACAUCGGCUGGUACAAAAGCACACAGGGCUGGAAAUCAGCUGCCUUGCCCUCUACACUCCACACCAACUCUAAGACUUUGGCACGUCAAGCCUUGUUUCCAUUGAGGAUUUUAAUCUUGGCUGCACUUUUGAAGGUGGGGAGCUUUAAAACUAGAUACAUACGUCUGGGAUGCCAGCAGAUUUUCUGGUUUCCUACCACCAAGAUGGAAUGCCUACCUGAGAACAAGGGCGAAACGCAGGAAGGCCAUGCGGGCGGAUGGAGCUCCAGAAACACUGGUUGA